GACGGAGGAUGCAAGCGUUAUCCGGAAUGAUUGGGCGUAAAGCGUCCGCAGGUGGCAGUUCAAGUCUGCUGUCAAAGACCGGGGCUUAACUUCGGAAAGGCAGUGGAAACUGAACAGCUAGAGUAUGGUAGGGCAGAGGGAAUUCCUGGUGUAGCGGUGAAAUGCGCAGAUAUCAGGAGGAAUACCGAUGGCGAAGGCAGGU
rnacentral:rRNA from 1 species